rnacentral:rRNA from 1 species
GCUUGUCUCAAAGAUUAAGCCAUGCAUGUCUAAGUAUAAACGAAUUUAUACUGUGAAACUGCGAAUGGCUCAUUAUAUCAGUUAUAGUUUAUUUGAUGGUCCUUACUACUUGGAUAACCGUAGUAAUUCUAGAGCUAAUACAUGCACCAAGCCCUGACUUUGAAGGGGUGUAUUUAUUAGAUGGAAACCAAUGCGGGGCAACCCGGUUCUUGGUGAAUCAGAAUAACUGAACGGAUCGCAUGGCCUUGUGCCGGCGAUGAAUCAUUCAAAUUUCUGCCCUAUCAACUUUCGAUGGUAAGGUAUUGGCUUACCAUGGUUACAACGGGUAACGGGGAAUUAGGGUUCGAUUCCGGAGAGGGGGCCUGAGAAAUGGCCACCACUUCCAAGGAAGGCAGCAGG